UGGAAAGUCGUCCAAGGGCAGGACAACGAUUUUUGGUGUCGUGAAUGCUAGUUCGAGUCUAGCCUUUCCAA
rnacentral:tRNA from 1 species